UGGGGAAUAUUGGACAAUGGGCGAAAGCCUGAUCCAGCCAUGCCGCGUGUGUGAAGAAGGCCUUUUGGUUGUAAAGCACUUUAAGCGAGGAGGAGGCUACUUGGAUUAAUACUCUAGGAUAGUGGACGUUACUCGCAGAAUAAGCACCGGCUAACUCUGUGCCAGCAGCCGCGGUAAUACAGAGGGUGCGAGCGUUAAUCGGAUUUACUGGGCGUAAAGCGUGCGUAGGCGGCUUCUUAAGUCGGAUGUGAAAUCCCUGAGCUUAACUUAGGAAUUGCAUUCGAUACUGGGAAGCUAGAGUAUGGGAGAGGAUGGUAGAAUUCCAGGUGUAGCGGUGAAAUGCGUAGAGAUCUGGGGGAAUACCGAUGGCGAAGGCAGCCAUCUGGACUAAUACUGACGCUGAGGUACGAAAGCAUGGGGAGCAAACAGG
rnacentral:rRNA from 1 species